CUGCGAAUGGCUCAUUAAAUCAGUUAUCGUUUAUUUGAUAGUACCUUACUACUUGGAUAACCGUGGUAAUUCUAGAGCUAAUACAUGCUAAAAACCCCAACUUCGGGAGGGGUGUAUUUAUUAGAUAAAAAACCAACGCCCUUUCGGGGCUUCUUGGUGAUUCAUGAUAACUUUACGGAUCGCAUGGCCUUGCGCCGGCGACGGUUCAUUCAAAUUUCUGCCCUAUCAACUUUCGAUGGUAAGGUAUUGGCUUACCAUGGUUUCAACGGGUAACGGGGAAUUAGGGUUCGAUUCCGGAGAGGGAGCCUGAGAAACGGCUACCACAUCCAAGGAAGGCAGCAGGCGCGCAAAUUACCCAAUCCCGAUACGGGGAGGUAGUGACAAUAAAUACUGAUACAGGGCUCUUUUGGGUCUUGUAAUUGGAAUGAGUACAAUUUAAACCUCUUAACGAGGAACAAUUGGAGGGCAAGUCUGGUGCCAGCAGCCGCGGUAAUUCCAGCUCCAAUAGCGUAUAUUAAAGUUGUUGCAGUUAAAAAGCUCGUAGUUGAACCUUGGGUCUGGCUGGCAGGUCCGCCUCACCGCGUGUACUUGUCCGGCCGGGCCUUCCUUCUGGAGAACCUCAUGCCCUUUACUGGGCGUGUUGGGGACCAGGACUUUUACUUUGAAAAAAUUAGAGUGUUCAAAGCAGGCCUUUGCUCGAAUACGUUAGCAUGGAAUAAUAGAAUAGGACGUGCGGUCCUAUUUUGUUGGUUUCUAGGACCGCCGUAAUGAUUAAUAGGGACAGUCGGGGGCAUCAGUAUUCAAUUGUCAGAGGUGAAAUUCUUGGAUUUAUUGAAGACUAACUACUGCGAAAGCAUUUGCCAAGGAUGUUUUCAUUAAUCAGUGAACGAAAGUUAGGGGAUCGAAGACGAUCAGAUACCGUCGUAGUCUUAACCGUAAACUAUGCCGACUAGGGAUCGGGCGAUGUUCUUUUUCUGACUCGCUCGGCACCUUACGAGAAAUCAAAG
rnacentral:rRNA from 1 species